UACGUAGGGUGCGAGCGUUGCCCGGAUUUAUUGGGCGUAAAGGGCGCGUAGGCGGCCACGCACGUCCGUUGUGAAAUUGCCCGGCUCAACUGGGCGGGGUCGGCGGAUACGGCGUGGCUGGAGCAAGCUAGGGGGCAAUGGAAUUCCCGGUGUAGUGGUGGAAUGCGUAGAUAUCGGGAGGAACACCAGUGGCGAAGGCGGUUGCCUGGAGCUUUGCUGACGCUGAGGAGCGAAAGCCAGGGGAGCAAACGGG
rnacentral:rRNA from 1 species